rnacentral:rRNA from 1 species
GAUUAUGGCUCAGAACGAACGCUGGCGGCAUGGAUUAGGCAUGCAAGUCGAACGGGAGCAGCAAUGCUCCAGUGGCGCAAGGGUGAGGAACACGUGAACAACCUGCCUUCGAGUUGGGGAUAGCUUCUGGAAACGGGAGAUAAUACCGAAUAACAUCACCGGAUCGCAUGAUCUGAUGAUCAAAGCAGCAAUGCGCUUGAAGAGGGGUUCGCGUCCCAUUAGCUAGUUGGUGAGGUAACGGCCCACCAAGGCGAUGAUGGGUAGCUGGUCUGAGAGGACGAUCAGCCACAUUGGGACUGAGAUACUGCCCAGACUCCUACGGGAGGCUGCAGUCGAGAAUUUUGGGCAAUGGACGAAAGUCUGACCCAGCAAUGCCGCGUGCGGGAUGAAGGUCUUCGGAUUGUAAACCGCUGUCAAGAGGGACGAAACAUGACGGUACCUCUGGAGGAAGCCACGGCUAACUACGUGCCAGCCGCCGC